rnacentral:rRNA from 1 species
CCUACGGGAGGCAGCAGUAGGGAAUAUUGCUCAAUGGGGGAAACCCUGAAGCAGCAACGCCGCGUGGAGGAUGAAGGUUUUAGGAUUGUAAACUCCUUUUGUUAGAGAAGAUAAUGACGGUAUCUAACGAAUAAGCACCGGCUAACUCCGUGCCAGCAGCCGCGGUAAUACGGAGGGUGCAAGCGUUACUCGGAAUCACUGGGCGUAAAGAGCGCGUAGGCGGGUUAGCAAGUCAGAUGUGAAAUCCUAUGGCUUAACCAUAGAACUGCAUUUGAAACUGUUAUUCUAGAGUAUGGGAGAGGUAGGUGGAAUGCUUGGUGUAGGGGUAAAAUCCGUAGAGAUCAAGAGGAAUACUCAUUGCGAAGGCGACCUGCUGGAACAUAACUGACGCUGAUGCACGAAAGCGUGGGGAGCAAACAGGAGUAGAUACCCCAGUAGUC